rnacentral:rRNA from 1 species
ACUCCUACGGGAGGCAGCAGUGGGGAAUAUUGCACAAUGGGGGAAACCCUGAUGCAGCCAUGCCGCGUGUGUGAAGAAGGCCUUCGGGUUGUAAAGCACUUUCAGUUGUGAGGAAGGUGGUGUCGUUAAUAGCGGCAUCAUUUGACGUUAGCAACAGAAGAAGCACCGGCUAACUCCGUGCCAGCAGCCGCGGUAAUACGGAGGGUGCGAGCGUUAAUCGGAAUUACUGGGCGUAAAGCGCAUGCAGGUGGUUUGUUAAGUCAGAUGUGAAAGCCCGGGGCUCAACCUCGGAACUGCAUUUGAAACUGGCAGACUAGAGUACUGUAGAGGGGGGUAGAAUUUCAGGUGUAGCGGUGAAAUGCGUAGAGAUCUGAAGGAAUACCGGUGGCGAAAGGCGGCCCCCUGGACAGAUAACUGACACUCAGAUGCGAAAAGCGUGGGGGAGC